AAGGUAAGUUCGGAAACAAGUCAAGACUUCUAAUCUAAGCUUGAGAGAUUCAACUUCUCUCUUACUUUU
rnacentral:tRNA from 1 species